AUAUAAAAAACAAUUUCUUUUCUUUUUUUCCCUUUCUUUCUCUUUCUUCUCCCCAUCUCUUUCGCGACAAACACCGUUCUUUCACUUCCCCAAUUUCUCAUAUUUGCGAAGCCACCAAUCUCCGUUCUUUGCUCUUGUUGAUUAAACAAUCUUCAGCCGGAGGUGAUGAUUGAGCAAUCAGAAUAACACAUCAGAGGUUCUGAUCUAUCGACGAGUUUGGAUAUUGACUCAUUGAGAGUUUUUUCCACCAAAUCAAAGCGUUUCCUUCACUGCUUUUCGAGAAUUUGAUGAACCAAUCUCCAUCUGAUGAAAUGAGAUGUUGCCAAGAACUGAUCCAAGGAAAUUCACCUGGUGUUGAUUCCCGGUGUUAUGACAAGAGUCCGUUUGACACAUUUCUGGUGGGUGGGGGGAUACAGCUGAGGCUAACGAUAUAAAGAAAGAAGAAGAUGAUUCAGAAUCGGACUUGGGACUUGGGAUGACGAUGACCCAAACAACAACAACAACAAUGUUCAGUUUGAAUAACGACGAAGACGACGACUCAGACUACUUAAGGGUUUGUUUCUAUCAUCAACACCACAAUGAAUCCGUAACAAGAUGGUUUGAAGAAUGAUGAAGAAGACGACUCAGACUGCUUAAGGAAUUUCAUCAUCUUUAAACUAUGGCAAGGGAGGGCUAAGUAACCAGCCUGCAUAACAGAGAGACAUCUUCUAUUGCUUUAACUAAUGAAGUGUCUAACUAAGCAGAUUAGAAAGAUAUGGUUUAAAGAAUGAACGCAGUUUCAUAAUAAACUUGGCCGAGGUUCGUGCUCACGGUAACAUCAAACUGAUUCUAGUGACUGAUGGUCUUUGACUCAAUUGUCAAUACAAUACGUUUUCCUUGUCCACUUCGAAUUCCCCAUCCAUAACUUCUCUAGAUGGAGAUAUUAUGUGGAUCCCUUUCUUCCGGUGGAAAAUUCUCUUCUUGCUCUCCAACAUAUUGGAAGCUGUCCCAAAAUUGUGAACACCACUAUCAUCAACAGACUUAAAGGCGUUAAGGAUCUGGAGCGGAGAGAGGAUGCUGCUGCACAAGGAUCUGAAGCGGAAAGAGGAGGAUGCUGCACAAGCCGGAAUUGUUAUUGAGGCGAAAGAAAAACUGGCCUCCUCCCUUCCUCCCAAGUCCCACCUAUCCAUGAAGACAUUGCUAAUGAAAUUUUGGUUUGUCUCCAAAGGCUACAGUAUAUUGCAUUUCCAACAUAAUUGGGCUUGGUUCUUGCACUUUAUUGGAAUAUCAUUGCCGUUACUAGAACUUGGAUCAAAGGAGAAGAUCAGUUUGAAUAACGAUGAAGAAGAAGACUCCGACUGCUUAGGUUUUGUUUCUAUCAUCAACACCACAAUCCAUAAGUGUAGACUGUGAUAUUUCUAUCAUUAACACCACAAUCCAUAAGUGUAGACUGUGAUAUUUCUAUCAUCAACACCACAAUUGUUUGCUGUUGUUUCUCUAUAUGGAUUAGAUGGAAGAUGAUAUAUGCAAGGCUCUCUUUCUUCCCAUUAUUACCGACGAUGAUGAUGCCUUUUUCUAGUCUUCAUCACUUUAGAACAGACUGAUCAUAGCUUAAUGAAUCUGCUUUGUUAAUCUACCUGGAACUUAUUAUCUUUUCUUUCUCUUGCAGGACUUUCAUCUUUAAACAUUGGCAAGGGAGGGCUUAGUAACCAGCCAGCAUACAGAGAGACAUCUGCAAUUGCUUUAACAGUCUGACUAAGCAGUUCAAAGAGAUAUGGUUUGAACUUUAAAGUAUGAAUGCAGUUUCAUAAUAAAAACUUGGCCGAUGAGAAUGCUCACGGUAACAACAUCAGACUGAUUCUAGUGAUUGAUGGUCUUUGACUCAAUACAAUACGUCUUCCUUGUCCACUUCGAAUUCCCCAUCCAUAAGUCUUCGCUAGAUGGAGAUAUUAUAUGGUUCCCUUUCCUCCGAUGGAAAAUUCUCUCUUCUUGCUCCCCAGCCAACCUAUUUGGAAGCUGUUCAAAAUUGUGGACACCACUAUCAUCAACAGACUUAAAAGGCGUUAAGAUCAGAGAUGGUUUGAAGAAUGAUGAAGACAACUCAGACGCUUAAGGAAAUUCAAUUUUAAACAAUCGCAAGUGCUAACCAGCCAGUUCAUAGAGAGAUAUCUUCAAUUGCUUUAACGAAAGAAGGUUUAAUAAAGAUGAAGAAGAGUCAGACUGCUGAAGGUUUCUACAUUCUUUUGGAUUCAAGGGAGUGUUCAUGCUGCUUCGAGUUCCAUACUAUCACCUUUGCCUCCGGAACCUGCUGAUUUUGGAUAUGGUCGUACUGUUGACAUUCCUCUUGAGUCUUGACAGACCGGGCUCUGGUACACGAGGUAUACAGGAUUUGAAGAAGAAAGAGAAGGAGCCUCAAGCCAAAGAAGCUGAGCUGAGACGACAAAAGCAGAAAAGCCAGUUUAACGAUGUCAUGUGCAUAUUUUGUUUUCAGUUGAUGAUGAGGAUGCUGCUGCACAAGGAUCUGAAGCGGAAAGAGGAGGAUGAUGCACAAGAUCGGUGAUGGUUUGAAGAAUGAUGAAGAUUCAGAUUGUUCAAGAUGGAGGGAUAUAUAUAUGGUUCUCAUUAUUAUCCAACGAUGGUCAAAUCCUAUUCUGCUGUAAUAUGUGGCAACUGAAACUCCCUGAUUCCUUUUAAGAGUUAGCAGCAGUGAAUAACUUGAGGAACAGAUAUUGGCAAAGAUUCCCUAGUUCAAAGCUUGAACCUUUGUGAACAAGAAGAUUUGGGCAGCUCUAGUUUUGCCUGCAUCACAAACAAGUAUUCCACAUCUACUAGAAUUCAGAAAUUUCAUCUAAAAACAAUGGUAAAAGCUAACCAGCAUACAGAGACAUCUCCAGUGGCUAAGCAGGAAGGUUCAAGGGCUACUACUGAUGCAGCAAGACUGCGAACUGAAUACAACGGGCUGGUUGAGGGUUUGGCACUGAGAAGGGACCUAUCUGGUAAGUAUGUGUUGAGGAAGGUGAUGUGUGGUUUGGUUGAAAAAACACAAAAGUGCAUGACAUUUUGUACGUUGAUUACUUCAGCAGUACUUGGGUACAGCUGGGACACUGAGAACAUAGAGAAAAUAAAAUCCCUGUUAGCUUUUGUAUCGUCGCUGAAUUCUCAGGCUGGGAAUUGAGCAGAAAACACUGAAGUAAGGUUUUGACCAUCUCCAGACUCUCAUGCUUACUAACCCUUGAGAAAUUACA